rnacentral:lncRNA from 1 species
GGGGACGAAGUCUGGCUUUCGUAGGAGUCCGGACGAAGUCUACCUGUAUUUGGAGUCGGGGAUGAAGUCCGGCUCCCGUAGGAGUCCGGAUGGAGUCUACCUGCAUUUGGAGUCGGGGACGAAGUCCGGCUCCCGUAGGAGUCCGGAUGAAGUCUAUUUGCAACUGAAGUCAGAGGUCUGGCUCCCGUAGGAGUCUGGAUGAAGUCUAGAAGGUGGUCAAUCAUUAUGGAAGCUUGGGUGGAGUCCGUCCACCGUGAAGAAUCCGGUCGAUGCUGGUGGGGGCUUAUCUGUUGGCAAAACUUGGGAGUGUUACGGAGGCUCGGCCGCCAGAGAGGUUCGGA